rnacentral:rRNA from 1 species
CCCCUACGGGGCGCAGCAGUGGGGAAUAUUGCACAAUGGGGGGAACCCUGAUGCAGCGACGCCGCGUGGGUGAAGGAGUAUUUCGGUAUGUGAAGCCCUAUCAGCAGGGACGAACAGAUGACGGUACCUGAAGAACAAGCCCCGGCUAACUACGUGCCAGCAGCCGCGGUAAAACGUAGGGGGCGAGCGUUGUCCGGAAUGACUGGGCGUAAAGGGUGCGUAGGCGGCAUAAUAAGUUAGAAGUGAAAUACCCAGAGCUUAACUCGGGUGCUGCUUCUAAGACUGUUGAGCUUGAGUGCGGGAGG